rnacentral:rRNA from 1 species
GAUGAACGCUGGCGGCAGGCCUAACACAUGCAAGUCGAACGGUAACAGGAAACAGCUUGCUGUUUCGCUGACGAGUGGCGGACGGGUGAGUAAUGUCUGGGAAACUGCCUGAUGGAGGGGGAUAACUACUGGAAACGGUAGCUAAUACCGCAUAACGUCGCAAGACCAAAGAGGGGGACCUUCGGGCCUCUUGCCAUCGGAUGUGCCCAGAUGGGAUUAGCUAGUAGGUGGGGUAACGGCUCACCUAGGCGACGAUCCCUAGCUGGUCUGAGAGGAUGACCAGCCACACUGGAACGGAGACACGGUCCAGACUCCGACGGGAGGCAGCAGUGGGGGAUAUUGCACAAUGGGCGCAAGCCUGAUGCAACCAUGCCGCGUGUAUGAAGAAGGCCUUCGGGUUGUAAAGUACUUUCAGCGGGGAGGAAGGGAGUAAAGUUAAUACCUUUGCUCAUUGACGUUACCCGCAGAAGAAGCACCGGCUAACUCCGUGCCAGCAGCCGCCGUAA